GCCACCUCCGCGGGUCCCCACUCCCCCUUCCCACCUAAGACGAUCCCGUCCCCCAGGGAUCUCGAUCCCCAAGAACGCCCUGCUCCCUCCAAAACGACUCCUCCGUCCUAUCCUAGGGCAGCCCACCCGGCAAGAUCCCCCCACCUUCCCCGACAACCUGGGAUCCCGUCCUCGGGGCAGCCCCACGUCCAGGCACAGCCCCUAAGGCGGGACCUCCAGGAUCUGGCACCUGGAACAGGCCACCCCAUUGCACUGCGGUAGA
rnacentral:lncRNA from 1 species